GACGAACGCUGGCGGCGUGCUUAACACAUGCAAGUCGAACGGUGAAGGGGUCUGCUUUUGUGGGCCCUGGAUGAGUGGCGAACGGGUGAGUAACACGUGAGUAACCUGUCCCCUUCUUCUGGAUAACCGCAUGAAAGUGUGGCUAAUACGGGAUAUUCUGGGUCUGUCGCAUGAUGGGUCUGGGAAAGAUUGCGCCUUUGGGUGUUUUUGGUGGGGGAUGGGCUCGCGGCCUAUCAGCUUGUUGGUGGGGUGAUGGCCUACCAAGGCGGUGACGGGUAGCCGGCCUGAGAGGGUGGACGGUCACACUGGGACUGAGACACGGCCCAGACUCCUACGGGAGGCAGCAGUGGGGAAUAUUGCACAAUGGGCGCAAGCCUGAUGCAGCGACGCCGCGUGAGGGAUGGAGGCCUUCGGGUUGUAAACCUCUUUCGCCAGUGAAGCAGGCCUGCUCCUUGUGGGUGGGUUGACGGUAGCUGGAUAAGAAGCGCCGGCUAACUACGU
rnacentral:rRNA from 1 species